GAAGGGCGUACACUGCUGGGUCCCACGGCGCAGCAGCACACCAGGGCCUAUAGCAGGGAGUGCCGAGCAUGCUAAUGAGGUCAUUAUGUAUUGGCCUCUCUUUCCUUUACAGUGCGCCUGUCAGCGGAGGUUGGUAAUGAAGCCCUGCACAGAUGUCACAUAUGGCACAAUGCAGCAACAACGGCGGCGUCUCAGAAAUGGCGGGGCACAAGGAUUGGAUGGGAUAGGAGAGAGUGACAGCGGCGGUGCUCCGCUUCUCAGCUAGCAUCCGAAGCCAGAAAGCAGCAUUUGCAUAGAUCUGCUCUUUGACACCCCUGCACAACCUGAAUGGCCAUUGUUCCAUUGAAGGAAAAAUAUCAUGAUGGCACCCCCUCCACUGUGCAGUGUGGAACAUAUCAGAUGCCGUCUGAUGAUUAUUGGACUGCACUCGGCACCAGUAACAACCUUCAUUUGGGCUGAGGAUCUCCUGCAUCUUGACGGACAGCCAAUCGCAUCAUCCGGUUCAGAGAGAGUGAAAUGUUUUGGGAUCUCCAACUUGAUGUUUUUAUUCUAUAGCCCGUGGGAUCUUUUUAGAAGUUUUAAAUGACUGACUUACUGUGUCCAACCUCAGCAGCAAUGGCACGUUGCGACAGGCCUUGCUUAUACAGCUCAAUCCAUCAAUCCAAUGUUUUUUUUUUGUUUUUUGUUUACACUGAUGAACAGCCUAUUUCACUUUGAUGCUUGUUUUUUCAACAGUUCCUAAGAUUUUAAGCAGGAGUGUUUAUCAAACAAUGUCAAUGGAAAGCAAACAGACCUAUGCAGAUGAAAACAA